AAGGAGAGGCAGGGCCCCACACAGGCCACUGCGGAGAGAAGACUGGGGAAGAGGGGAAGAUGUCUCACCGGGGGGGGGGGGGGGGGGGCGGGGGGGGCAAAACCGAGUGCAAAACCGGCUGGAAAAAGGGAGGUCCCCCCGCCCCCAGGAGACGAGCUGGGGUGCAGAGAGAGAGCGCUAAGGGCUGGUUACCUUGGGAUACAGGGGAAAGGGACAUCGGAAACACAGAGGUCUUCCGGAGAGGCGAGGGACGGAAAGGAUGAGGCAGGGUCUCGGGUAAGUGCGAACCGGGAAAGCAGGCAGGCAGGCAGGCAGACAGACAGACAGACAGACGGACCGCGGGACUGGGGCCUCCCAGGGCCAAAAGGCGUGGCCAGGGAUCCGGAUCAAACGACGGUCUUUGGGAGACGCCAGGGCAAGUGCGCGGCAAACCCCUCCUUCAGGACCCCGGGCCGGGCCAGACCCAUCCGGGGGGCCCGGCCGCGAGGCACCUCGAGGGCAGGACGCGUCCGGAGGGCCCCGGCCCGGCCCGGCCCGCGGGGGCCCUCGGCAGGGCCGACUCCGGCCCCGGCCCCCGCCCCCGCCCCCACCCCCGCAGCGCUCUUACCUCCACACCUGCCCCAUCUGCAGCAGGUGGAUGACCGACUGCCAGAUCCACACGGACAGGCGGCACAGGCGCUGCGCCCCCGGCGUGGCCGAGGCCCCCGGGCCGCCGCGGGCCGCGCCGUGGCCGUAGCCGGCCCCCAUCAUGGGGGGGCCCCGGCUGCUGAGCCCCUCCACGGCGCCCAGCCCGCCGCCCGUGUAGUCCUGCACGAACCAGCGGAAGCUCAGGCUCUGCACCAGCAGCGACGGCACCAGCACGAAGAAGAGGGUCAGCCCGAAGAAGCCGUAGUCCCCCUUGCGGUAGUAGUCGAGGGCCAGCCACAGGUCGGUGCCCACGUCCCCGAAGAAGACGAGCAGCGCCAGCACGAUCCACAGGCAGUCGAGCCACGGCCGCUCCACCUGCGGCGGCGGCGGAGCGGCAGCCCCAGUAGCACGAGGAGGUGUUGCAGCAGUGGCAGAUGUGCAGCGAGCUGCUCUCGCCGGGCUCGCUGCCGUCGCCGCCGCCGCCGCAGCCGCCUCCCCCGGGCUCCCCGUCCUCCUCGCCGCCGCUGCCCACCGCCUCGUCCAGGUUGUGCAGCUGGGCGAAGCCCACCCCCACGCCACCGCCAUCGGAUUUCGCCGCCAUCUUGA
rnacentral:lncRNA from 1 species